rnacentral:rRNA from 1 species
AAAACCAAAGCUGGCGACCGGCGCACGGGUGAGUAACACGUAUCCAACCUGCCUCAUACUCGGGGAUAGCCUUUCGAAAGAAAGAUUAAUAUCCGAUAGCAUAUAUUUCCCGCAUGGGUUUUAUAUUAAAGAAAUUCGGUAUGAGAUGGGGAUGCGUUCCAUUAGUUUGUUGGGGGGGUAACGGCCCACCAAGACUACGAUGGAUAGGGGUUCUGAGAGGAAGGUCCCCCACAUUGGAACUGAGACACGGUCCAA